rnacentral:rRNA from 1 species
UGGGGAAUCUUCCGCAAUGGACGAAAGUCUGACGGAGCAACGCCGCGUGAGUGAAGACGGCCUUCGGGUUGUAAAGCUCUGUGAUCCGGGACGAAAGAGCCUGAGGUGAAUAGCCUAAGGAAGUGACGGUACCGGAAAAGCAAGCCACGGCUAACUACGUGCCAGCAGCCGCGGUAAUACGUAGGUGGCAAGCGUUGUCCGGAAUUAUUGGGCGUAAAGCGCGCGCAGGCGGCUUCCUAAGUCCAUCUUAAAAGUGCGGGGCUUAACCCCGUGAUGGGAUGGAAACUGGGAAGCUGGAGUAUCGGAGAGGAAAGUGGAAUUCCUAGUGUAGCGGUGAAAUGCGUAGAGAUUAGGAUGAACACCGGUGGCGAAGGCGACUUUCUGGACGAAAACUGACGCUGAGGCGCGAAAGCGUGGGGAGCAAACAGG